GAGACUAAGACCACUCAGAGAUGCAACUGA
rnacentral:piRNA from 1 species